rnacentral:pre_miRNA from 1 species
GACAGAGAGACCCUUGGUAUUGUUCUCCUUCCUCAAUACUAAGGGUCUCUCUGAUGU